GCGCACCACCGCGAUUCAUUUCCUCCUAGCACCGCGGCUGUUCCCAGUGUUUCUCCCCCUCCCCUUUACUCAUCCCCUCGCCCAACUCCGCAGUGGCGUUCGCGCCAGCCCCUUGAGAGACAUCUGAGUUCAGCCAAUCACCGUGAUCCCCUCGCACCCACUUCCGUUUUCGGCAGCUGUUGGACGGGCGCGCUCCCCGGUGCGCGCUUGCCCCGGCGCCCCCGGCGUGCAGAGCCGGCCUACCACCCCCGCGCCUUCUCCCGCCCAGGGCUUUGCCGGGGAGAGAGCAGGGGGCGCGCUGGGGGCCAUUCCCAACGGAUGCGGUCUGGGGCGCCACGCGCGGGCUUUUUGAAAACUUGACUGUUGGGGUUGGGGGCCCGGAUCUACCCGCCGCCUCUCCGCUUGUCCGCUACACCUGGCGUCCCCGCCCCACCUCCCGCCCGCACAAAGAUGGAGGGCAGAGGCCUGGUCCACGAAGGCGGUUAUUAACCGUUUACAGUGGGCCCGACGUGCGGUUAAACUAAAACUUUGCCACGUGGCCCUGCGCAAAAGCGAGCCCGAGGCGGCGGUGUGAAAGACAACAGGGAACCAAAAGAACUUCAGACAUUAGGAACCAGACGAGGCGCGACAUCCCUGCCUCCCUGCCACCCUCCCGCCCUCCUUGAAGCCCUCCCACGAUGCCCUCUCAGAGGAGGCCCUUUCAGGUCCCCUUGGCACACUCCAGCAGACAUUUUCAUUUAACCUCAGUGAAUGGUUUUUUAUGUGUAAUUUACAUCAUCUAUGUGUUGCUUUCUUUG
rnacentral:lncRNA from 1 species